rnacentral:rRNA from 1 species
CUACGGGAUGCUGCAGUGAGGAAUAUUGCGCAAUGGGGGAAACCCUGACGCAGCGACGCCGCGUGGAUGAUGAAGGCCUUAGGGUCGUAAAAUCCUGUCAGGUGGGAAGAAGUGGAUAUAGAUUAAUACUCUAUUUCUUUGACGGUACCACCAAAGGAAGCACCGGCUAACUCCGUGCCAGCAGCCGCGGUAAUACGGAGGGUGGCAAACGUUGUUCGGAAUUACUGGGCGUAAAGCGCGCGUAGGCGGUUUGUUAAGUCAGAUGUGAAAGUCCAUGGCUCAAGUAUGGAAGUGCAUUUGAAACUGGCAGACUUGAGUACUGGAGGGGGUGAUGGAAUUCCCGGUGUAGAGGUGAAAUUCGUAGAUAUCGGGAGGAAUACCGGUGGCGAAGGCGAUCACCUGGCCAGAUACUGACGCUGAGGUGCGAAAGCGUGGGGAGCAAACAGGAUUAGAUACCCCUGUAGUC